rnacentral:snoRNA from 1 species
UUGCAGCCAAUUAAAUUGACCAGGCUCUUUACCCACUGCCCUGGGUGCAGCGGCUGCAAACACCAGCCUUCUUGGUAGUGUACCAGUCUUGUUUAUAUGGGUUGUCCUAAGGGACCUUGGAGACAGAG